GAUGAACGCUGGCGGCGUGCCUAAUACAUGCAAGUCGAGCGAACGGACGAGAAGCUUGCUUCUCUGAAGUUAGCGGCGGACGGGUGAGUAACACGUGGAUAACCUACAUAUAAGACUAGGAUAACUUCGGGAAACCGGAGCUAAUACAGGAUGAUAUUUUGAACCGCAUGGUUCAAAAGUGAAAGACGGUCUUGCUGUCACUUAUAGAUGGAUCCGCGCUGCAUUAGCUAGUUGGUAAGGUAACGGCUUACCAAGGCAACGAUGCAUAGCCGACCUGAGAGGGUGAUCAGCCACACUGGAACUGAGACACGGUCCAGACUCCUACGGGAGGCAGCAGUAGGGAAUCUUCCGCAAUGGGCGAAAGCCUGACGGAGCAACGCCGCGUGAGUGAUGAAGGUCUUCGGAUCGUAAAACUCUGUUAUUAGGGAAGAACAUAUGUGUAAGUAACUGUGCACAUCUUGACGUUACCUAAUCAGAAAGCCACGGCUAACUACGUG
rnacentral:rRNA from 1 species